AAAAAGUUUGAUUCUUGCUUGGAUUUUUGCUUUAUAAUUGUAGAGUACAUGUAAAUUUUAAUGGGAAAGGUGGUAAAGGGCUAAAAGUCUCUUACUAAGAUAGAAAGUUAUUACUUUAAGGUAUUGAUUCGCAGUACAAGAUAUUAUUUGUUUAGUUGGGGCUUGAUAACAGCAAAUUAUAUGGAAAUCUGAUAAAAUUUUGUGCCAGCAGUCGCGGUUAGACUUGGAGGUUAAGUAGAAAUAUUUUGGUUUAAGUUAUUUGAAGAAUUAUUUUUAAUUUAGAUUUAUGGUGGAUAAAAGGUGAAAUUGAGUUAUUGUAAUAUGAAUUUGAGUUGAUUUAAGAGUUAUUGGAGGCUUAUAAAGUUGAGGGAUGGACUAGGAUUAGAUACCCUAUUACACUUAAUAGAGAAAAUUUAAGUACCUGAGUAUUAAGAGUUAUGUUCUUUAAAUUCAGAGAAUUUGGCGGUAUUUUAGUCUUGUUAGAGGAACCUGUUUUAUAAGUGAUACUACACGUAAUAUCUUGCUAAUUUUUGUUUAACAGUUUGUAUACCGUCAUUAUUAGAUAACUUUUAUAGAAUUAGUUAUUGUAAUUAAGGAUUUAAGUAUAUUAGAUCAAGGUGCAGCUUAUAAGUUAGAAGAAAUGGGUUACAAUAAAAUUUAUUUAGAAUGGAUCAGUGUUAAAAUUAGUAUUGUGAAGGCGGAUUUAAUUGUAAUUAAAAUUUAAUAAGUUUUUAUGAUAAGAGUACUAAAUUAUGUACAUAUUGCCCGUCGCUUCCAUUUAAGGUGGAAUAAGUCGUAACAUAGUAGGUGUACUGGAAAGUGUACCUGGAAGUAA
rnacentral:ncRNA from 1 species